AUUGAACGCUAGCGGGAUGCCUUACACAUGCAAGUCGAACGGAGUGGCGAACGGGUGAGGAAGGUAUCGGAACGGGCCCCGGAGCGGGGGAUAACUACGAGAAAGCGUAGCUAAUACCGAAAACUAUUGGAGCGGCAGUUAUCGGAUUAGCUAGUUGGUGGGGUAACGGCUCACCAAGGCGACGAUCCCUAGCUGGUUUGAGUGGAAGACCAGCCACACUGGGACUGAGACACGGCCCAGACUCCUACGGGAGGCAGCAGUGGGGAAUUUUGGACAAUGGGGGAAACCCUGAUCCAGCCAUCCCGCGUGUGCGAUGAAGGCCUUCGGGUUGUAAAGCACUUUUGGCAGGAAAGCGGUACCUGCAGAAUAAGCACCGGCUAACUACGUGCCAGCAGCCGCGGUAAUUC
rnacentral:rRNA from 1 species